rnacentral:sRNA from 1 species
GCUCAGUGAUCCUCCCGUUUCGACUUCCCAAAGUGCUGGGAUUACAGGUGUGAGCCACUUCACCAGGCUCAUUUUCUCCUAAAACAUCAAGGACAAAUCAUUAAUAAUGUAACAGGAAUCUUUAGGAGAAAAAACAAUUUGGUUUACUGAUAACAAAAGAUAAUUGGAAACAUGAGAGUAUUUGAGGUUGGCCACGCGGAACUGUGAAGUCCAUCAUGUGAGACUUCAAGGGCAAGUGUGAGACUUCUCUGAGGAAGCAGACCCUUCACAAGCAAAAUCAACCAGCACUUUGAUCACGGACUUCCCAGCCUCUAGGACUUGAACAAUAAAUAUUUGAUGUUUAU